rnacentral:tRNA from 1 species
CUGGUUUUGUAGCUCAGUUGGUUAGAGCAUGGUGCUAAUAACACCAAGGACGAAAGUUCAAGUCCCUCUGGAACCAUG